rnacentral:lncRNA from 1 species
UCCCUCUCUCUACAUGCACAAAGAAGCCUUGUGAGAGCACAGUGAGAAGAUAGCAGGAAGAAGGCUCUUAUAAGGAACUGAAGGAGCUGGUUACCUUGAUCUGAGACUUGCCAGCCUCCAGACUGUGACAAAUAAAUGUCUAUUGUUUAAGCCACCCAGUCUGUGGCAUUGUGUUAUGGCAGCCGGAGCUAAUACAUGGCUCUCUAGAAAUUUUGUAAAAGAAGAUUUGGAAAGCUCUGAGUCAUGUUAGCCUUCUUGGAAUUAUUUUCCACUCACCAAAGGAGACUCAGUAAAGAGAAAGGAACUCAGGCACUCAUUUGGAUAUCAAAUUGUACCACCCCUUCCAUAAAGGUUUCCCAGCAUUCCUUGCUCAUUGUGGUGCUCUCCUCAGGAGUCCUUGGAACCUGUGGUCUCUAGUAUGCAAUCCAGCCCUCAGCCCUCAGAUGACCUGCAGAAUGAUCAACCACUCUUUCAGGUGGGGUCCCUUCCCUCCUAAUGACAGUGAACUCACUGAAGGCAGGGUUUAGUUGUUGUCGUCUUUUUUUCCUUCUUCUUUUUUAACUUUCUAAAUCUGGCCAAGAGCCUUAUGCAUAACUAGGCAC